UACGUAGGCAGCGAGCGUUGUUCGGAGUUACUGGGCGUAAAGGGUGUGUAGGCGGUUUUCUAAGUUUGGUGUGAAAUCUCCCGGCUCAACCGGGAGGGUGCGCCGAAAACUGGGAGACUAGAGUGCGGGAUGGGAGAGUAGAAUUCCUGGCGUGGCGGUGAAAUGCGUAGAUAUCAGGAGGAAUACCGGUGGUGUAGACGGCUCUCUGGACCGCCACUGACGCUGAGACACGAAAGCGUGGGUAGCAAACAGG
rnacentral:rRNA from 1 species